GGAGUUCGAGGAGUCAAUGCGGAGAGAGUAUCCGUAUCUAUUCGAAUCGACGAGUUAAGGUGUGUGUAAUUUCGUGGACGAAAUUAUUUUAAGGGAUGGAGAAUGUAGUAUACCGAAAAUUCAAAAAAUAAAUAUCGAACUUUAGUCAAAUUGACCAAAGUGCGAGGAUGGUACACUUCGGAAAGUCUGAAGGUGUUAAAAUGAUCAAAAGUGAGUUACGGGAGGUUUUCGAGAGCUAAAAUUGUGAAAUCUGCAUUCUGC
rnacentral:lncRNA from 1 species